GCUUAACGCGAAGAACCUUACCAAGGCUUGACAUACACCAGAACACCCUAGAAAUAGGGGACUCUUUGGACACUGGUGAACAGGUGGUGCAUGGUUGUCGUCAGCUCGUGUCGUGAGAUGUUGGGUUAAGUCCCGCAACGAGCGCAACCCUCGUUCUAUGUUGCCAGCACGUAAUGGUGGGAACUCAUGGGAUACUGCCGGGGUCAACUCGGAGGAAGGUGGGGAUGACGUCAAAUCAUCAUGCCCCUUAUGUCUUGGGCUUCACGCAUGCUACAAUGGCCGGUACAAAGGGCUGCAAUACCGUGAGGUGGAGCGAAUCCCAAAAAGCCGGUCCCAGUUCGGAUUGAGGUCUGCAACUCGACCUCAUGAAGUCGGAGUCGCUAGUAAUCGCAGAUCAGCAACGCUGCGGUGAAUACGUUCCCGGGUCUUGUACACACCG
rnacentral:rRNA from 1 species